rnacentral:rRNA from 1 species
GCAUAUCAAUAAGCGGAGGAAAAGAAACCAACAGGGAUUGCCCUAGUAACGGCGAGUGAAGCGGCAACAGCUCAAAUUUGAAAUCUGGCUCUUUCAGAGUCCGAGUUGUAAUUUGCAGAGGGCGCUUUGGCUUUGGCAGCGGUCCAAGUUCCUUGGAACAGGACGUCACAGAGGGUGAGAAUCCCGUACGUGGUCGCUAGCUAUUGCCGUGUAAAGCCCCUUCGACGAGUCGAGUUGUUUGGGAAUGCAGCUCUAAAUGGGAGGUAAAUUUCUUCUAAAGCUAAAUAUUGGCCAGAGACCGAUAGCGCACAAGUAGAGUGAUCGAAAGAUGAAAAGCACUUUGGAAAGAGAGUCAAACAGCACGUGAAAUUGUUGAAAGGGAAGCGCUUGCAGCCAGACUUGCUUGCAGUUGCUCAUCCGGGCUUUUGCCCGGUGCACUCUUCUGUAGGCAGGCCAGCAUCAGUUUGGGCGGUGGGAUAAAGGUCUCUGUCACGUACCUCUCUUCGGGGAGGCCUUAUAGGGGAGACGACAUACCACCAGCCUAGACUGAGGUCCGCGCAUCUGCUAGGAUGCUGGCGUAAUGGCUGUAAGCGGCCCGUCUUGAAACACGGACCAAGGAGUCUAACAUCUAUGCGAGUGUUUGGGUGUCAAGCCCGAGCGCGUAAUGAAAGUGAACGGAGGUGGGAACCCGCAAGGGUGCACCAUCGACCGAUCCUGAAGUUUACGGAAGGAUUUGAGUAAGAGCAUGGCUGUUGGGACCCGAAAGAUGGUGAACUAUGCUUGAAUAGGGUGAAGCCAGAGGAAACUCUGGUGGAGGCUCGCAGCGGUUCUGACGUGCAAAUCGAUCGUCAAAUUUGGGCAUAGGGGCGAAAGACUAAUCGAACUAUCUAGUAGCUGGUUCCUGCCGA